rnacentral:rRNA from 1 species
CACGUAGGGCGCAAGCGUUGUCCGGAAUUAUUGGGCGUAAAGAGCGUGUAGGCGGUUUGGUAGGUCCGCUGUGAAAACUCGAGGCUCAACUUCGAGACGCCGGUGGAAACCAUCAGACUAGAGUCCGGAAGAGGAGAGUGGAAUUCCUGGUGUAGCGGUGAAAUGCGCAGAUAUCAGGAAGAACACCCGUGGCUAAGGCGGCUCUCUAGUACGGUACUGACGCUGAGACGCGAAAGCGUGGGGAGCGAACAGG